GACGAACGCUGGCGGCGUGCCUAACACAUGCAAGUCGAGCGAAGUUAUUCCUUCGGGAAUAACUUAGCGGCGGACGGGUGAGUAACACGUGGGUAACCUGCCUUAUAGAGGGGGAUAGCCUUCCGAAAGGAAGAUUAAUACCGCAUAACAUUGAGCUUUCGCAUGGAAGCUUAAUCAAAGGAGUAAUCCGCUAUAAGAUGGACCCGCGGCGCAUUAGCUAGUUGGUGAGGUAACGGCUCACCAAGGCGAAGAGGCGUAGCCGACCUGAGUGGGUGAAGUGCCAGAUUGGGACUGAGACGCGGCCCAGACUCCUACGGGAGGCAGCGGUGGGGAAUAUUGCACAAUGGGGGAAACCUUGAUGCAGCAACGCCGCGUGAGUGAUGAAGGCCUUCGGGUUGUAAAGCUCUGUCUUUGGGGACGAUAAUGACGGGACCCAAGGAGGAAGCCACGGCUAACUAUGUGCCAGCAGCCGCAGUAACAC
rnacentral:rRNA from 1 species